AACGAACGCUGGCGGCAUGCCUAACACAUGCAAGUCGAACGAAGGCUUCGGCCUUAGUGGCGCACGGGUGCGUAACGCGUGGGAAUCUGCCCCUCGGUUCGGGAUAACAGUUAGAAAUGACUGCUAAUACCGGAUGAUGACUUCGGUCCAAAGAUUUAUCGUCGAGGGAUGAGCCCGCGUAAGAUUAGGUAGUUGGUGGGGUAAAGGCCUACCAAGCCGACGAUCUUUAGCUGGUCUGAGAGGAUGAUCAGCCACACUGGGACUGAGACACGGCCCAGACUCCUACGGGAGGCAGCAGUGGGGAAUAUUGGACAAUGGGCGAAAGCCUGAUCCAGCAAUGCCGCGUGAGUGAUGAAGGCCUUAGGGUUGUAAAGCUCUUUUACCAGGGAUGAUAAUGACAGUACCUGGAGAAUAAGCUCCGGCUAACUCUGUGCCAGCCGCCGCAGUAA
rnacentral:rRNA from 1 species